rnacentral:miRNA from 1 species
CCCAAAACAUGCCGAAGUAUUCCA